GACGAACCGUGCGAACGUUAUUCGGAAUCACUGGGCUUAAAGCGCGUGUAGGCGGGACGGCACGUCGGUCGCUGAAAUCCCCCGGCUUAACCGGGGAACGGGCGUCGAUACGACCGUCCUGGAGGGGCGUAGGGGGACCUGGAACUUCCGGUGGAGCGGUGAAAUGCGUUGAGAUCGGAAGGAACGCCCGUGGCGAAAGCGAGGUCCUGGACGCCUACUGACGCUGAGACGCGAAAGCCAGGGGAGCGGAACGGG
rnacentral:rRNA from 1 species